AACGAACGCUGGCGGCAGGCCUAACACAUGCAAGUCGAGCGAACCCUUCGGGGUUAGCGGCGGACGGGUUAGUAACGCGUGGGAAUAUACCCUUUGGUACGGAAUAGCCUCGGGAAACUGAGAGUAAUACCGUAUGUGCCCUUGGGGAAAGAUUUAUCGCCAAAGGAUUAGCCCGCGUUGGAUUAGAUAGUUGGUGGGGUAAUGGCCUACCAAGUCUACGAUCCAUAGCUGGUUUGAGAGGAUGAUCCGCCACACUGGGACUGAGACACGGCCCAGACUCCUACGGGAGGCAGCAGUGGGGAAUUUUGGACAAUGGGCGCAAGCCUGAUCCAGCCAUGCCGCGUUGCGGGACAA
rnacentral:rRNA from 1 species